rnacentral:lncRNA from 1 species
UGUAAAAUGGAAACAGCCAAGAUCAUCUUGUUAAACCAGUGAGAUUUAUUGGAGUUACAUACAGGACUUAGGGGAAGCAGUUAGUAAAUGAGAGCACAAGGGACUCAAAGACAAUUGCUAUCCUGAAACUUAAAACCAGCAUAAGAAAGAGAUAAUAAGUAGUGGACAUUGGAAGCAAACCGCUUAUCUGUAGGCAUCUGAACAGGAUAAAGAGCAUCUUAUCUUAGUGGCUCAGUUUGUCAAAUCCUCUUUUAAGAAGUAUAAUUGGAGUGUGUUCAUUUGAGAUAAACAUACAGAAUGCUGUCAGUUUCAUUAGCUAUUUUGAGGCAUGUAUUUCAUAGCUUCUCUUUGAAAUAGAUCAUUUCAGUCUCCAGGAAAGUUUAUACAACUCCAUAUUCUUUUAGCUUCUCCAUCAUGACAUAUUUAAAAGUGAACAAGUAAAAACUUUUAAUGAAAGAUUUCCUUCAUUGCUGUAUUUUCCAUUUCUCUGAGCAUAAAUGCUGGGUCGCUCCUAAGAUUUGAGGAUUAUUUAAAUGUUUUCCCAACUUCCUCGCAUAUAUAAUAAUUCUCUAGUGUGGAGCUUCAAGUGUUGCCAACAAUACCGCUAGAAUAAAGCACAUGCCAUAGUUUUUCCAGUGGACACUUUUUUUCUGAAUAUAAAUAACCAGGUAUUUUCUUAGGUCUGAGAUUUGGGUAGAGACCUUUCCUCAUAUAUCACAUUCAGAAGGUUUUUAUCCUGAAUGCAUUCUUUCAUGUAUUUUAAGUGGUGAACCAACACUGAAGGAUUUGAACUAUACUAUAUCUAUAAGUUCCUUCUCCUAUAUGUAGUCUCUGAUGAAUUCUAAGAUGAUCUUCCUUGGAAACGGGUUUUUCUCAUUCACUUCAUUUGUGAAGGUGUCAACUGUGUGCAUUCUCUGAUAAGAGCUAAUAUUGUUUUUGGCUAAAGCAUUUGUCACAUUUAUUAUAUUUGUAAGGCUUCUCUCCUAUAUGAAUUCUCGAAUGAAGAUGACGAUAGAAUUUUUGGGUAAAGCAUAUGUCACAUUCACUUUUGUAAGGUGCUUUCUCCUGUAUGAAUUCUCUGAUGUUUUCUAAGAUCACCUUUAUAGGUAAAGCAUUUGUCACAUUCACUACAUUUGUAAGGUUUCUCUCCUGUAUGAACUCUCUGGUGGAUAUUAAGACUGCCUUUUUGGGUAAAGAAUUUGUCACACUCACUACAUUUGUAAGGUUUCUCUCCUGUAUGAAUUCUCUGAUGAAUACUAAGACUGCCUUUAUGGGAAAAGUAUUUUUCACAUUCACUACAUUUGUAAGGCUUCUCUCCUGUAUGAAUUCUCUGAUGACUUCUAAGGCUGCUUUUAAACCUAAACCAUUUGUCACAUUCAUUACAUUUGUAAGGUUUCUCUCCUGUAUGAAUUCUCUCAUGUCUUCUAAGAUCACCAACUAGAUUGAAACAUUUCUUACAUUCACUACAUUUGUAAGGUUUCUCUCCUGUAUGAAUUCUCUGAUGUCUUCUAAGAUCACCAACUUGACUGAAACAUUUCUCACAUUCACUACAUUUGUAAGGUUUCUUGCCUGCAUGACGCAUCUGAUGAAUACUAAGACUGCCUUUUUGGGUAAAGGAUUUGUCACAUUCACUACAUUUGUAAGGUUUCUCUCCUGUAUGAGUUAUCUGAUGUUUUCUAAAAAAGUAUUUCUUGGCAAAACAUUUUGCACAUUCACUACAUUUGUAAGGUUUCUUUCCACUUUUGGUUUGUUUCAACAUGAGGAUUUCUUUAGAGUCAAAAACAUCAUCAAGCUUUGCACUAUUGUAUUCUUUCUUUCCUAUGUUGAUUCCUUGAUUUUGACUAAUGGUAGAGCACAAAUUGAAACAGUUUACAUGGUUUUUAUAUUUGCAAGGUUCUCUGUUGUUUUCAGUUUCGUGUCUGCUUAGGUUUGAUGAUUCAACAGAUGUAGACCUGAGGUUAGUUUUAUAAGGUAUACUUCCGGUGAACUCAUGGAUGACUUUGCCAAGCUCAUGACAUUCAUAAGAUUUCACUUGGAUAUUUGCAUGCUUGUGGACAAUAUGUUGUAGGUCUUGAUCCAACAUGUUCUCAAAUUUUGGACACAUGCAGU